GCAGUUUUCAUCUUUAUUUUAUUUUUAUUUUUAGUAUAAUUAGAGCUCCCCUUUGUCUGAAGUAGGGGUACACGUUUCGUGAGUAAUGAAGAAAACGACGCUCGAACGACAGAAGAUGUGAAUGGGGAUUUUCAAUAUCCGCUCAAUUUGGAUAACGAGUGUAUUGCAACAUGUACUUAAUGGAUCCAGAGCAGGAUGGUAUUGAGCUGCAGGAGAGAAACACGGAUGGCUUUGACAAUACCAUGGAGGCAUUACUCCCAAUUCUGCACCAGCAGAGGACAUAUGAUUAUGUUCUAGUUGCUGACAAAGUUGAGGACCAGGAACACCCAAAGUUUCUGAAGCAGGUGGCUUUUAUUGACCACCUGAGGAAG